AGAGUUUGAUCCUGGCUCAGGGUGAACGCUAGCGACAGGCUUAACACAUGCAAGUCGAGGGGCAGCGGGGAGGUAGCAAUACUUCCGCCGGCGACCGGCGCACGGGUGAGUAACACGUAUGGAACCUGCCCGUAGCAGGGGGAUAAACGGAAGAAAUUCCGUCUAAUACCGCGUAAUAACUCCGAGAGGCAUCUCAUGGAGUUUAAAGGGUAACACCGGCUACGGAUGGCCAUGCGGCGCAUUAGCUAGUUGGCGGGGUAACGGCCCACCAAGGCGACGAUGCGUAGGGGUUCUGAGAGGAAGGUCCCCCACACUGGUACUGAGACACGGACCAGACUCCUACGGGAGGCAGCAGUGAGGAAUAUUGGUCAAUGGGCGCGAGCCUGAACCAGCCAAGUCGCGUGAGGGAAGACGGUCCUAUGGAUUGUAAACCUCUUUUGUCGGGGAGCAAAAGACGCCACGUGUGGCGUUCCGAGAGUACCCGAAGAAAAAGCAUCGGCUAACUCCGUGCCAGCAGCCGCGGUAAUACGGAGGAUGCGAGCGUUAUCCGGAUUUAUUGGGUUUAAAGGGUGCGCAGGCGGAAGAUCAAGUCAGCGGUAAAAUUGAGAGGCUCAACCUCUUCGAGCCGUUGAAACUGGUUUUCUUGAGUGAGCGAGAAGUAUGCGGAAUGCGUGGUGUAGCGGUGAAAUGCAUAGAUAUCACGCAGAACUCCGAUUGCGAAGGCAGCAUACCGGCGCUCAACUGACGCUCAUGCACGAAAGUGUGGGUAUCGAACAGGAUUAGAUACCCUGGUAGUCCACACAGUAAACGAUGAAUACUAAUUGUUCGGGGAGAAUGAUCCCUGAGUGAUACAGCGAAAGCGUUAAGUAUUCCACCUGGGGAGUACGCCGGCAACGGUGAAACUCAAAGGAAUUGACGGGGGCCCGCACAAGCGGAGGAACAUGUGGUUUAAUUCGAUGAUACGCGAGGAACCUUACCCGGGCUCAAACGACACAGGAAUACUUUUGAAAGGAGGUAGCUCUACGGAGUCUGUGUCGAGGUGCUGCAUGGUUGUCGUCAGCUCGUGCCGUGAGGUGUCGGCUUAAGUGCCAUAACGAGCGCAACCCCCAUCGCCAGUUACCAGCAAGUCAAGUUGGGGACUCUGGCGAGACUGCCGGCGCAAGCUGUGAGGAAGGCGGGGAUGACGUCAAAUCAGCACGGCCCUUACGUCCGGGGCGACACACGUGUUACAAUGGCAGGUACAGAGAGAAGCAAUGCGGCGACGCAAAGCGGAACUUGAAAGCCUGUCUCAGUUCGGAUUGGAGUCUGCAACUCGACUCCAUGAAGCUGGAUUCGCUAGUAAUCGCGCAUCAGCCAUGGCGCGGUGAAUACGUUCCCGGGCCUUGCACACACCGCCCGUCAAG
rnacentral:rRNA from 1 species